rnacentral:rRNA from 1 species
GACAGAGGGUGCAAACGUUGCUCGGAAUCACUGGGCGUAAAGGGCGCGUAGGCGGCUUAACAAGUCACUUGUGAAAUCUCCGGGCUUAACUCGGAACGGCCAAGUGAAACUGUCAAGCUAGAGUGCAGAAGGGGCAAUCGGAAUUCUUGGUGUAGCGGUGAAAUGCGUAGAUAUCAAGAGGAACACCUGAGGUGAAGACGGGUUGCUGGGCUGACACUGACGCUGAGGCGCGAAAGCCAGGGGAGCAAACGGG